GUCGAGAAUCUUCCGCAAUGGGCGCAAGCCUGACGGAGCGACGCCGCGUGGAGGACGAAGGCCUUCGGGUUGUAAACUCCUGUCACGGAUUAAGAAUUCCAUGCUAUGAACAGUGGUAUGGUUGACGUAAGUCCGAGAGGAAGCACUGGCUAACUCUGUGCCAGCAGCCGCGGUAAUACAGAGAGUGCAAACGUUGUUCGGAAUUACUGGGCUUAAAGCGCACGUAGGCGGCGCCGCAAGUGCGGGGUGAAAGCCCACGGCUUACCCGUGGAAUUGCCUUGCAGACUGCGGUGCUAGAGUGUGGUAGGGGAGAGCGGAACUCCUGGUGGAGCGGUGAAAUGCGUAGAUAUCAGGAGGAACACCGGUGGCGAAGGCGGCUCUCUGGUCCACAACUGACGCUGAGGUGCGAAAGCUAGGGGAGCAAACGGGAUUAGAAACCCGGGUAGUCC
rnacentral:rRNA from 1 species